UUUUUUAAACAGUUAUUGGCAUGACACGGGUUAUGUUCUUCUCAUAUAUUUUAUGAUAGUAUGAUACUAAACCUCUAACGGGAGGGAUUGUGCCUGAUAUUUAUAUGAUGAAGACAUAAUCUUUCAAUCAGUUCAAUUGAGGUCUGGAGCUGGCAUGUCAGUUAACUGCUAGUAGUCUGUUGUUAUUUAUGUAUUAUUGUCAUUUUAUUUAUUUUCUUUUGUUACAUCUUUUGAC
rnacentral:lncRNA from 1 species